CCUACGGGUGGCAGCAGUGGGGAAUAUUGGACAAUGGGGGCAACCCUGAUCCAGCCAUGCCGCGUGUGUGAAGAAGGCCCUCGGGUUGUAAAGCACUUUCAGUGAGGAAGAACGCCUGGUGGUUAAUACCCAUCAGGAAAGACAUCACUCACAGAAGAAGCACCGGCUAACUCCGUGCCAGCAGCCGCGGUAAUACGGAGGGUGCGAGCGUUAAUCGGAAUUACUGGGCGUAAAGCGCGCGUAGGUGGCUUGAUAAGCCGGUUGUGAAAGCCCCGGGCUCAACCUGGGAACGGCAUCCGGUACUGUCAAGCUAGAGUGCAGGAGAGGAAGGUAGAAUUCCCGGUGUAGCGGUGAAAUGCGUAGAGAUCGGGAGGAAUACCAGUGGCGAAGGCGGCCUUCUGGACUGACACUGACACUGAGGUGCGAAAGCGUGGGUAGCAAACAGGAUUAGAUACCCCGGUAGUC
rnacentral:rRNA from 1 species